rnacentral:misc_RNA from 1 species
GUAGGUGAACCUGCGGAAGGAUCAUUAAAAAUACCGGCCCCCUCGCGGGGCGCCGACGGCAGCAGCUCCCGCCCUUCAUCGGGCGCGGGGCUGACCGCCUAAACCCUCUGUGAAAAACCCCAGUUGCUUCGGCAGCAUGCCUGACCCUGCCCUCACCGGCGGGUUCCGGCGGUCAGCCUGCCGACAGCACCCAAGGAAACCCUUUGCCUGAAAGGAAGCCUGAUACACCGUCUGAGCGCGAAGUCUAAUGACUAUAAAACUUUCAACAACGGAUCUCUUGGUUCCC